ensembl:lncRNA
CCCCCUGUCCCACUGCCAUCUCAGAAUGCAUCUUGAUCAGAAGCCUCUGGGCUCUGGAGUAGGUCUCAUCAUGACCCACACCUUCAGCCUCUUUCCCACGACUGAAAGCUCAGAGAAGCCCUCACGCAGGCGGUGUCCAUUCUGUAGAGUUGCUCUGGAAACACAAUGCUUCACUGGGGCCUCUUACCCCCAUCCUCCGCUCCCCCACCCCCAUCCUUUUCUCCUUGUGUAAUUAAAGGGAAAAUGUUCUGCAUUCAUUUGCGUUAUACUUUAUCAAAUAACGGAGAGAUGAAUUAAGAGGUCCAUAUUUCUAUUUCAAGGUUCAUGUCACAAACUGUNNNNNNNNNNNNNNNNNNNNNNNNNNNNNNNNNNNGGAAGUCUUCACUCAGAACACAGCCAUCUCCCCUUCCUCUUUUCAUUCCCCAGCACAAUUUCUAAGCAGAUGUGAUGGGCGAUGGUCAGGAAUUCGGCAGAGAUAAUUGUGAAAGAAUCCUCAGAGCGUCCAGGAUUCUCUCCCUCUCUCCCACAUAUUGCACAAGAAGUCCUCCUGAGAAAGGGGUGCCAGGCUCUUAGCUCAACUAAUCGGAAUACAACAAACAUUUGCUUAGUACCUACUGUAUACAGAGAGGCCUGUAGUAGGCACCACUGGGGAAGUGGAAUUGUCCGUAUCUUCCAUUUCUAUAUUUCUUUCUAGUUAACACAGCAUGCCUACAUUCAUAGCUACAUUGAAUCCUUGCAAAAACACUCUGGCAUGGAUAUUAUCAUUAUUUUUUGCUACUGCUGUGAGGAAACUGAAGUUGAGAAAGAUUACAUACCAGGGGUUCUUCAUAUCCAGUGGGUCAAAGACCCCCUUGGUAGACUGGUGAAGUCUAUGGACCUCAACUUAGAAAAAAUUUUCUUAAUGCAUGAAACAAAAUUCAUAGGCUCAUAAGGACCAUCAAUGAUACUGAAAUACAGUUUUCAAAAUGCUAGAAAAGCCUGAUAUAGUCAUUGAUGUGCUUCUUUAUUAAGGUGUUAAAUAACAAGAUUCUAAUAACUAUUUUAAUUUUAAAGUAGUGACUUGGAUAUAUCAGAGACCCACAAGCUAUGACCUAGAUCACCACUCAUUUUUGCAAAUAAAGCUUUAUUGAAACAAAACCCCACCCCUACUCCCCAAUCGUUUUCCUAUCGUCUAUGGCUGCUUUAGAGCUACCACAGCAGAGCUGAGUAGUUGCAACAGAGUAUGCAUGGCCCAUAAUGCCUAAAUUUUUAGUAUCUGGACCUUCCCAAAAAGUUGACUGAUUCAUGUUGUGUUCAAUAUUUUGAGAUAACUGCAAUUUCUACUUCUGAAGAAAAAUCUUAGCUACUGCAAAUACUAUUGUGGUUUGAUGCUUCCAUUUAUAAUUGAAGCAUGUCAACUUUUUUUUUUUUUUUUUUUUUUUUUUUUUUAGGGCCAUACCCAUGGCAUAGGAAAUUCCCAGGCUAGGGGUUGAAUCCGAGCUGUAGCUCUCACAGCCACAGCAAUGUGGGAUCUGAGCCGAGUCUGUGAUCUAUACCACAGCUCAUGGCAACAUCGAAUCCUUCACCCACUGAGCAAGGCCAGGGAUCAAACCCACCUCCUCAUGGUUACUAGAUGGGUUCGUAACCCACUGAAUCACAAAGGGAGCUCCCGAAGCAUGUCAUUUCACUUUUUCAAGUUCAUGGGUCCCCAGAAUUCUAUCCAUGAUGCUGAUGGGGCUUAGAAUUCAAACCCAAGUUGCUUCUGGUUCAGAAACCAGCAUUUGUCCUACAACUCCCUGAUGUCUGGUACUUGAGAAUCUUAGUCUAGUAGAACACACACACACACACACACACACACACACACACACACACACACACGCCUCUAGGAAGGCAGCCCCUCUAGGCUAUCAUGAGGAGUGAGAGUGUCAUGGAACUUUGAGGGAGGUAGCAAUGCUCAAUCUUUUUGCCUUCUGUAGUCCUUGCUGAAUCCAGGGUCACCAUAUGACCAAGUGGGUGAAGUGUACUCUGGCUCAGCUUCCAAGCCUGCUAGAUAGGGUGGGAUAGCCUUUCUAAAUUCCUCCCAAAAGUGCUCUGGGUACAUCUUAUGAGCAAUAUGGACGGGUGGAUGUUUGGACUCAGAGGGUGCUUAUCAAUGUGUAGUCAGUAACAAACCCAGUUUCACUGAUGAGUUGACUCUCAGAUUGAUAGUAAUAAAGAGGGAAGACCAUUGUUAUAUUGAGGGAUUUUAAAGACUUAACUCUGCAAAUUUCCAUUCACCCAUUCACUCAUUCACCUCUUCCUCCCUCCUUCCUAAACAACCCUCAUUAAUUAUUUACUAUAUGCCAGUCUCUUAGUUAGGUGCUUCUCUGGUAUAUAUGAAUUCAGGGAAAUUUAGUCCUAGCUCUGUAAUUUCCUAGCUAUGGUACCUUGAGUAGCUUCUACUCUUUGCUCUCUAUUAGCCCAUAUAUAAAAUAGGAAUUGUAAAUGUACCUGCCACCACCUCAGAUCUGAGGUGAGUCCAAGGAGAUAAUAGAUACAAAGUGAGGGGGGAAAGUUGUUUCAGACAUUGAAAGAAGGGAGAGAGCUCUAUAUAGUUCAGGUUAGCUGGGCCGAUUCAUAGAAGUGGCUCUGAGUAAGACCUUGAGAUAUGGACAGAAUAUGAAGCAGUCGGAAGUUAGCAGAACCCAGAGGUACCAUGAGUGAGGCUAGGAGGCUGAGAAGGAGCUGUGUAAUCUGGCUGUUUCCCUGAGGAGCUGUGACACUCAGCCCACUCCCUGCUGAGACUUUAGAGCCAGCCGGGAGGCAUUGUUAUGAGACUGUGUUUAUUAUUAUCAUCCUCAUCAACAUUAUUAUCAUUAUUAAUAUGAUAUUUGGAGCAUUUAUGCACAUUAAUUUUAAACAAGCAUGUGCAGUGGCAAGAUCUGAUGCUGCUACCAAUAAACAGCUAUAACGUGGAUCUUUAAUUUACAUAAAAUCAUUUAUGCUAAUUUAAUUAGUCCUUUGUUUACAACUGAGGCUCACUCACCACUGGGCUGUGAGAUAUGCUCUACUGCAACACACUGCAGGGCUGGAAGCCAGGCACAUGCAUCCAAUGAGCGAGGCUGUUCCUCCUACAGAGAGGAAAGUGUCACUUGCUCUUUUGUGCGAGGACACACUCAGAUUCAGUAAGUCCUUAUUUGCAACUUCAUCUCUGUACAAAACUGUGCUGGCUGCUGUCCUGUAUUUAACUGAUUUAGUCCUGACUGACAAUCAUCUUGUGAAGAGGAUCAGAGAGGUUUUACAUCCAAAGCAGUAUCACACAGCUACCAAGUAGUGAGAAAGAUAUGAAACCCAUGGGUAUCUAUUUCUCGUUUCAGCCUCUCUCUACAUUCUUAUGACAACUAUUAAAUGUGAAAUGCUAUCCUGGCUCAGUACAUGUUAGAUACUCAAAAAAUGCUGGUUGAAUGAAUGAAUAGCGCUGUCCCACUUAAAAAUGCUUUCAGGUGCAUUUUCUCCCUGACACUCUGCAGCAGCCCUGAGAGAUGGGUCUGGCCAGCUCCACUUUGUAGAGGAAGCUGAGCAGGUGGGGUAAUGGAGAGGGCAUUGCACUGCAAACUCAGAGUUCUGCAUCCUCCUGCUGAUUAUGUCAUUGAUUUAUGCCCUGACCUUGUCUUGACCUUGACUCUGGUCAAAGCGCUCCCCUCACCUAAGUUCCUGCAUUUCCCCAUUUGUGAGACAGAAAGAAGGAUCCCUUGUCCUUCUAAUCUGACGGGCAGAAAUAAAAAAAAUGAGAGUGUGGAAGGGACUGUGCAGGGUGCCUGAGAAUUAUAAGGUGGCAUUUGUCAGACUUGCCUUGGGAAACCUUGAAAAAUUGAAUGGAAACCACUGGGCUCAUUCAUCUCCUUUUAACAGCCCCAUGUCAUCCAGCCUGGUCUUUUCCAUUCCUGCCCUGUCCAAUCCUGACAACAUAAUUUAGUUCCAGGGAACUUGAAUAGAACACAGCGGACUGAUAUUUCUACGCACUCCGGCCUUGAUUAAUUCCAUCAGGGCAGCUGCGGUGAGGAUGAGGAGCCAAAGAGGACGCUUUUUGGGGCACCCCAGCCUCCUGUGCUCACUGCCUCUCCCCUGCCUGGGGGCUCCCCCCUCCCCAGUCCCUGCAGACCCUGCUUCUCGCCUCCCUCCUCCUGCUCUGAGUCCUUUACCUGGGCUAUCUGAUCUUCCUACUAUCCAGCCACCCAUUCUGCAAACACAUGGAGUGUUUACCACAGCCAGGCAAUGGGGAUUUAGAAUUAAGUAAGGACCAGCCCUGUCCUUCAAGCAUUCAGUCCCAGGAAAAUGAAGACCAAUGGAUGUGUGAGCAAAAAUGGUUCAAGGGAGGAGGCAAGAGCUAGAACAGGGAUGGAAGGAUGUGGAAGUUAAUGGAAGGAAGAGCCUUCUAUGCCUGGGGAGGGGAAAAAAAGGCUUUACCAAGGAGACGGUGUUCUACAGGGAGUUUCAGGAUUAGUGAAGUUCCCCAGGAGGAGGGUACAGGGAGAGGGAGGGAAGGAGAAGAGAUUUCUGGUAGCGACUGCAACAAAAGCAAACUCAGGAGGGUCCGAGAUACCCAACUGGGGAGAUACCCAGGGCUGGUGAGUGGUCUGGGUGGUCCUGGGAAGUGGAGGGAUGAGGUGGGGUCAGGGCCCAGAGUGGAGACAAAAAGGGAGGGGAAUGGAUCGAGUCCCCUCUUUAAGGCAGAUACUGAUGGGUUUCCAUCUGCUGGGGUUUCAGUGCAUGCCUAUCUUUGGGAAUGCACCCAAAUCUGCAGGGGUGGGGGGAGAUGAAGACAUUGAAGGAUUUGUGAGUAGGGAGCUGGAAGGCAGAUAAGGGGAAAUUCCAUCCACAUCCCAUCUCAGUGAGAGUGGAGGUAAAUCUCACAUACUGGCAGGUGGGGGCGGGGAGCAGGCAGCAGGGACAGGUUCCGAGCAGGUGUUUUCCUUCCAUCUGUGUGAACAGAGACAGAAAUCUCAGUUCUCUGAAAACCGUGCAUGCUUCUCUUUUUCGUGGAUUUUCUGAAAAACAUGCAUUCAUCCAGAACUACCUAGAAAUGGCUAAACACACACAGGCCCCCUUUCUAAUAUUCCACACAGGGGUGCCCUUCACCCAUCACAGAGGAGGCGUGAGUAUCCGGCCCUGGAGGCACCCCUGUCUCUGCCCAAUAGCACCGCACUGAUGGCUUCUUCCUGUGGAUAUCAAGAUUUAUUAUGUCUCAAAAUCAAAUAAUGACCUUGGCUUUUUGUCCAUCAAUAUAUGACCUUUCAAGUCAAUAAACCUGGAUAUGCUAGUCAGUGGUUACUUAUUAUUUCCCCUGUCCUGAAAUGGAACUCUCAGACCCCAAUGCUUGCAUGGAUUGAACCACAGUGAUGAUCUGUUUAUAAAUCCCUGCACUUGACACUUGUGAUUUAAGAGUUCGUGGGCAAGCUGCAUGGUUUCUGGGUCUCUCUCUCCCUCCAUCAGAAGCCACUUAUGGCAGGUUUACCUCCCUUUCUCACUGAGAAACACUUUAGUCUUGGACUACCGAUGGUCCAAGGCCAGAGGGGAGCAUGGCAUACAUCUCCAAAUUUAUCUAAUGCAAAAGGGACAUGGAUACCUUCAUUGGGCCAAUGGAAGGAUGGCAGUCUAACAAUGGAUUGCGCACUUCUAAAGUACCUAUGGCCUCUGAGAGUCUGGGAGGAAGUAAAGUGAGCGUUGAGCUCCCAGAGUUUCUGGGUUUGAUAUAUUGGUCUUCCACUAUUAGCUGUGUAGCUUUGGGUAGGUUCUUUCUGUUCAUCCUCUCUGUGCUUCCACUGCCUUACAUGCAAAGAGAAAUAACCCAUGUAAGUUGCUUAAACAAUGCCCUUGACGUUGAGUGGACCAAGUCCCUCAUUCAGGCCAAUGAAAUUUAAACAGCAGGGACAGGUGUCACUUCUGAAUUGGGAUCAUGAAAAGCCAGUGCAUCGUUCUCCAGUCUUUCCUGCUGCAGCCAUGACUGAGAAGGUCAUAUAGGGAAGCUUUGGGUGGCGAAGGACCUGUCACUGCAUGGAGACCACCCAGUCUGGAGAUUUGCCAGGAUCUGCAAUGAAUGUCCUAUGGCAGGAAACAAAUCUUUGUUGUGCUAAGACGCUGAGAUUUCAGAGCUACUUAUUGCUGCAGCAUCCUCAGAUGCUCCUGACUGAGAUGGUGCUCAACAAAUAGUAGUGAUUAUUAUUGGUAAGGUUGUUACUGUAACAGAGUAGUAGAAGGCCCUGGUCUUCCUGCCUCCGCAGCAGCAGCAGACACUUGACUUGACCAUCAGGAGUGCUUGUGCAAACCCAGCUUGGCUAUGGGUUCUGCCCUGAUUUCCUGCCUCUGUCUGAUAAUUUGGCUCUUGCCUCUCCCCUUUGCCUCUUCCCCUGCAGCCCCCCUCACCCUCUGAGACUCUACCGCCAUCUUUUUAUUCCAUUAAAUGGUCAUUUUAUUGAUGCCUAGAUCAGUUUACCUGAUGCAGGUAGGAUGGGGGAAAAGCAUGCCACCAGACGCCAAGAAUCCUGGAUUUAAACACCGACUUAGCCUUUGUCUUUUUCUGAGCUUCUGCCCAAGCUGGGAGGAACCCUCCCUGCAGCUCAUGGCACCUGGUUACCUGGGCACUGGCUCUGGGCACCUUCUCGCCGCCCUAGGUCCUCCUCAAGGGAAGGGACCUGUCUUCAUCCUCCACAGCCAGCUCACAGCGUGAUGGGUGCUCCAUAAAUGCAGACUGACUUAAAAAUGAUGUUAAAGAAGAAAUGCUUGUCAUGAUGAUCUGUGCUGUCACAGCCUCAGAGACUGUCUUCCAGCAACUACUUGCCGGAAAGCUGGUGUUUAUCUGUGAGCACCAGCAGGAGUGAUGGUCCUGCACCCACCCAGAGCAGCCCCGAGGCACCUCUUUGGAAGCCCAGAGCUCGAAGGAGCACGUUUGGGGAAGUGCUGCCCUGCUCCAAGCUCCUCAUCUUGUAAAUGGGGUUGCUGAGGCCUGAAGUCAUCCUGGGAGCUGCCAAGAUGCCAUCCUAGAUCCAUUACCCUCCAACCCUCUUGUACGUCAUCUUGUGUAGCUUCAUGUCAUUUGAAUCAACUAUCUCCUACAUGACUUUCAAAUGUGUUUGAUCCCUUUCUACAAGGAAAAAGUGACCCCCUUGAGUGGGCUCUGAAGACAGUCACAGGUAGAGCAUGGGGUCCUUAGCCUAAGGCACGAGAGGUGGCAUUGCCCAGCUUUGGAUCCUGGACUCUAUUGUUUAUUAGCUCUGUGACCCUACUUAGGUGACAGGUUACUUCUCCUCUUGGAGUCUCAGCUUCCUCAUCUGUUAAAUGGGGAUAACCAUAAAACCCACACGCAGACCUACUGUGAGUAUCUGAUGAGAUGGCACCCGAGAUGCACUCGGUUGGUGGCAGGGCACACACUCAGGCCUCAGGGGUGCCAUGUGACCGGCUGUGUGCCCUCUGCAAACCCACUGAGCUCAUCUGGAUUCUGUGCAGAACAGCUGCUGUCAAGUCAAUCAUUUUUAUUUACUUCUAGAAAGAGCUGUCUCCCGGGGGGAGGACAGGGCCCAUGACAUGUGGAAACCAGACCAGAAAGUACUGGUGGUCUCUCAUUUCACCUGGCAAGCCCUGCUCCACCUCCAGGUCCCAGUGGAAUGUCUCGUCUCCUGGGAGAAGCCCUCCCUGACCCCCUCAGGUGGUUACAUGAGCAUGUCCCCUACCCUACAUGCCAUGCUGUUCUGCCCCACGUAGGACCAGUCACCGCUGUCACUAAAUAAAUGUUUAUGAAUUGUCUUUCAUCUCUUCAUAUCUGUCCUCCUUUAUGAGGGCAAAGGAGCCUAUUUUGUGUCACCACUACUAAGCACAGUGCCUGGCACAUGGUAGGGUGUCCAUAAAUAUUUGUUGAUGAACUAAACGGUUCGAGGCAUUGUUGCUUAAAUUCCUGCCAUAUGCUGGGUUUAGAACUGGAGAAGUCAUAUAUGUGGUCCUAGACUCAUAUAUGCAAGGUUUGCAGGCUGCUUUGCUCCUAAAAGGGAGCCAAAAAAAAAAAAAAAAA